rnacentral:rRNA from 1 species
CAGUCGCCACGGGAAUACGAAGGGGGCUAGCGUUGCUCGGAAUGACUGGGCGUAAAGGGCGCGUAGGCGGUUCGUACAGUUGGAUGUGAAAUUUCUGGGCUUAACCUGGGGGCUGCAUUCAAUACGUGCGGGCUAGAAUGUGGAAGAGGGUUGUGGAAUUCCCAGUGUAGAGGUGAAAUUCGUAGAUAUUGGGAAGAACACCGGUGGCGAAGGCGGCAACCUGGUCCAUAACUGACGCUGAUGCACGAAAGCUAGGGGAGCAAACAGGAUUAGAUACCCCCGUAGUCCCUGUCUCUUAUAC